AUCACUCAGAACAUAAACAACCCAAAAUUAAGAACGCCAACGCACCAAAACAAAGUUCAGUUUGCUUUCUUGAUUUUGGUGUGGUGAAGAAAGUCCAAAACGAAAGUUCACAGCUUGAACUCGACACCCCAAAAAACGUUAUAUUUUUUGUUGGCUGUUUUUAUCGGUUGCUGUUUGAUCUGAGUCUCCCUGGAGAAAAAAAGAAAAAAAAACUGCGAUUGAAAUAGAUCAUAAUCGAAUAAACUCUGCCUCUACAACAUUAGAAGAUUUCCAAUUUGAGUACCAAGUUGAUGAUUUUUUUAAAAAACGGUCAUACUCAUACACAACCAACGAAUUAUGAAGAACUCGCCGACCGAAACCACAUUAGAACAAGUUUGUGAUGCUGAAUUACUGCAGCUAGAGGGAAUCAAAAUUGUGAAAACCCGAGCGGAACUACUCGAUGUUUUACUAAACGAUGAAAUCACUCUUCCACCGGGCAUCUAUCUCCUUUUUAAAACCGUAUCUAGAACAGCUCAAGAGAAGAAUCGUCCGGUUUCAUACGGUGGCAUUUUUCCAGAACCGGGUUGACUAUUCGUAACUGAAUGUUCUACCAGCUGUCUCGUAGAGAAACGAGAAUAUGAAUCCGGAAGAUGCGCAACAGUUCUAAGGAGUGAAAGUUCCGGAAAUGCAUCCGAAUCCUCGGCCAAGAAAUUAAAACCAUCUUCUUAAAAAAAGUUGAAGAGAAUAUGUUUCGGAAAAUAUUUACAAG